UCCGUGACGGAGUGAUCGAGGCGAGCAUCAACCACGAGAAAGGCUUCGUCCAAUCAAAAGAGACGAUGGACAUCUACGGGACCAGAGAGCCUCAGCUGGCUUUCCACCAGAGAAUCUCCUUCUGCCUGGACAUCCACAACAUGUCCGUCAAGGCCAUGAGGUUUCCUCCCAAAGCUUACAACAAAGACCUGGAGUCAGCAGAGGAGCGUCGGGAGCGUGAGCAGCAGGAUCUGGAGUUCGCCAAAGAAAUGGCCGAAGAUGACGACGACAGCUUCCCAUGAUUCUCUCUGCUGACUUCCUGUGCAGACAGGAAGUAGUUCCUUGUGUGUGUGAGUGUGUGAGUGUGCGCGCGUGUGUGUGUCUGCACGCUGAUGUUAGUAUAUGAGUCAUUACCCACAACCCCCCUCUCCUCCUGCUCCUCGGCUGUAACCUCUGAACUGUUUAUUGUUUCUGUCCUGAUAAAUAAAAUUCACUCUGGGUUUGUUUA